CCUACGGGUGGCUGCAGUGGGGAAUAUUGCACAAUGGGGGAAACCCUGAUGCAGCGACGCCGCGUGAGUGAAGAAGUAUCUCGGUACGUAAAGCUCUAUCAGCAGGAAAGAAAAUGACGGUACCUGACUAAGAAGCCCCGGCUAACUACGUGCCAGCAGCCGCGGUAAUACGUAGGGGGCAAGCGUUAUCCGUAAUUACUGGGUGUAAAGGGAGCGUAGACGGCUGUGCAAGUCUGGAGUGAAAGGCGGGGGCCAAACCCCCGGACUGCUGUGGAAACGGUAUGGCUGGAGUGCAGGAGAGGUAAGCGGAAUUCCUAGUGUAGCGGGGAAAUGGGUAGAUAUGAGGAGGAAAACCAGUGGCGAAGGCGGCUUACUGGACUGUAACUGACGUUGAGGCCCGAAAGCGUGGGGAGCAAACAGGAUUAGAUACCCGGGUAGU
rnacentral:rRNA from 1 species